rnacentral:rRNA from 1 species
AACGAACGCUGGCGGCAUGCCUAACACAUGCAAGUCGAACGAGACCUUCGGGUCUAGUGGCGCACGGGUGCGUAACGCGUGGGAACCUGCCCUUAGGUUCGGAAUAACUCCCCGAAAGGGGUGCUAAUACCGGAUAAUGUCUUCGGACCAAAGAUUUAUCGCCUUUGGAUGGGCCCGCGUUGGUUUAGCUAGUUGGUAGGGUAAAAGCCUACCAAGGCGACGAUCCAUAGCUGGUCUGAGAGGAUGAUCAGCCACACUGGGACUGAGACACGGCCCAGACUCCUACGGGAGGCAGCAGUGGGGAAUAUUGGACAAUGGGCGAAAGCCUGAUCCAGCAAUGCCGCGUGAGUGAUGAAGGCCUUAGGGUUGUAAAGCUCUUUUACCCGGGAUGAUAAUGACAGUACCGGGAGAAUAAGCUCCGGCUAACCCCGUG